GACGUAGGGGCAAGCGUUGUCCGGAUUUAUUGGGCGUAAAGAGCUCGUAGGCGGCUCAGAAAGUCGGGUGUGAACCUCCAGGCUCAACCUGGAGACGCCACCUGAUACUGCUGUGGCUAGAGUCCGUAGGGAGCACGGAAUUCCCGGUGUAGCGGUGAAUGACUUAGAUAUCGGGAGGAACACCAGUGGCGAAGGCGUGCUCUGGGCCGGAACUGACGCUGAGGAGCGAAAGCGUGGUAGCAAACGA
rnacentral:rRNA from 1 species